rnacentral:lncRNA from 1 species
AGCUGGCAGCCUCUCGGCGGGGUUUUUAUUCCGAUCACAGCAUCGAACAAUAGCUCAUGAGCAAUCGAACAGACAGAACCAAAAAACAGCCAAUCCACAUAUCUUUUAUAGUCCUCCAUUGACGUCAGGGACCUUAGUUUUAGCCAAAUGUGCGUGCGAAAGUCCCCUUCGUGACUUUCUCUGCCACUAUCUUUUGGAGCCAGAUUUCCUGUUAUUGCAAUUAAGCUACCAUGAGAGAGGGUCACCAUGACCUGAUAUGAAGUUUAUCCCAAUCUGACCACUCCACCCAUAUCCUGUUUUCUUGCCUCAUGGUAACCCCCAAAACAUCCAAACAUAUCUGUUAUUUUCCCCCACAUAUCCCCCCUUUGAAUCUUUUCAAGAUUAACCAAGUUCACUGACGCCGUUGGAGAUUCACACUUAUCUUGUCUUAGCCUUAGUUACGUUACAUGAAUGAGUUAUGACAGCGUUAUGUGAUAUGGUACUACUUGAUUGAUUACAGAUGCAUAUGUAUGUUUUCAAACCAAUCCAACUCAUGCUUGUGAUCACGAAUGUUACAUUUUCACAAAUACAACACUUAGAUCCCUCGGUUCACAUCUGGCAGGGGCGAAAACCUGCUGGCUGCUUUGAGCAGGAAAUUCCCCUGCGGCCCCUCCCGCUGGCGACCUUUACCGUGAACCUUCUAAAUCUUAACAGCUUUUCACUGACCCACUCUACAUGACAAUCAACCACAUGUUUUAUUGCUCAAAAAAUGAUUAACCAUUUCCUUUACCUGUUUCCAUUUACCUGGAAUGGGUAUGUGUAAAUGAUGUGAGUAUGCAGAGUACACAUGGAUAACUGCAGGAUAUGUGUGUAUUGGUAUGAUAGUCCAUUAUGCAGAAUACACCUGGAUAGUAACAGAAUAUGCGUGUAGUGAUAUGAUAGUCCAUUUGCUCCGCCGUCCCAUUUGCUUUUCCUUUUGCUCGCUCGCUGCUGCUGCACCUCUGCUUCUUGUUUACCUUACACUUGACUCAGUUCGUCCUCAUCAUAGUCACCCACACAGGCAGGGUUCGGGUACAAGUCCGUAUAGUCCCCGUUUCCCGCCUUGCUGUCGUCCAAGCAGAGUUGUGCCAUUUGGGACGGCGUCAGCAAGUCCAACAUUUGAGCUUUUUGGAGACCAGUCGCCACAAUCAUCUGUCUGUCCAGAGCCCGCAGACACUGCCUCCUCAGGAUGGGGAUGAUGCAACAUGUCAAAAAGGAAAUUAGAAUUAGGACUGCUAAUGCACUGAGUCCUAUCUUAGCCCAAACGGCUCCCCAUUUUCCUAAAAUUUGGUCUAACCAAUCCCAUGACAGUCCCCCCUUGCCCGCACUCUCCCUGAGCUCAACUCUGAGUUCUGUAAGCUUCCCCAUUGCCACAGAAAAUAUACCAUCAGGGGCUGUGUUAUUUGGAAUAAAGGUACAACAAUGUUUCCCGAACAUGUGACAUACUCCUCCCCUAUCCGCUGUCAGCCAAUUCAAAACCUGUCUAUUUUGUUGGGCCAUUAUACUUGCUGCGUGUAAUUGAAUACCGAGAGCGCUCAGGAUCUCAGAUGUCGCAUUAACAAACCUCUGUUGGUUGUAAUAAAUGUAAUUUAUCCAUUGGACAUUUUUAUUAGUGGUGAUCCAAGGGAGAAUCGACUCUAGACCUACUCUAAUCUCAUCCUGAGCUUUAAACUCCUCUGGAAUUCCUAUUGGCACUCCUAUACUAUUGAUGUACACCUUUUCGUCAAUCUGCCUUUUAUGGCGGCUCAAUUUGGCUGUUUCUUCCUGGAUUUUAAGGAUCUCCUCGCCGCCGUCAUACACACAACAACUGACACUUUCAUUCGCACUAAUGUACAGAGUCCAAUCCAUUUUGGUGGAAGUGUGUUACGCGCAAUGUUGUCUCCACACAUCCAGUAACUGCCAGCUACUGCAACAGUUUGACUUGCGAAAGAAAUGCAUACUCGGUCUGGUCAUAGUUAUGUUUUCACAUGUUUGAUCUAAUGUUUGCUCUGGAUUUUCAAACCAAACAGGUCUGGUUAAGAACGGUUCGCUCAUAUUAGCUUCAGGAAACCAUGACAAUACCCACGUAAUUUUACAGUUAACAGUUAUGUUUUGGUAUGGAAUGUUUAUGUGUUUGAGCUCAGCUGAGAGUGCUGGCUCAGAGUUUAGCACGUCAUGGAUUGGUGUCUGUGUGGUUGCAUCAUACUCAUCUGAUUCAGAUGCUCUGUCUCCUCUGUCGUGCGGGUUGGUCUCUGGCGUGGCUCUGGUCCCCGGGGUGCUCUGUUUUCCCCUUUGAGUCUCUAGCUCCACUGCUUCUACAGGCAUCCAUAGAAGAGAGUUCAUUACCACCAGCACACACCACAAUGUCAUGUUUUUCAUCUUUGUUUUUCAACUCAAUACCGCCCUUGGUUUUGCCUGGAACCUUCGUGCAGCGUGACAGGUGAUACCACGUCCCGCUCCUUUCGACCAGGACUGCUGUGGGAGUAGCUCGCACCACCGUGUACGGUCCUUCCCGUCGUGGUUCGUGCCACUUCCUGCACUGAAGUAGAGUUCACCAGGACCAAAGUGCUCAGGUCUUCUCCUCGUUCUUUUUGCCACCCUCCUCAAAGGACGGUGAUGUACACCUGGUGCUCUGGCUCGACUGGCCUCCACCUCUUGACUGGGAUCAGAUUUUGGCACUCCUCCUGCUAACCGAUAGAUCUUUGCAUCGUAGUUAGAUGCCUCAUCUAUUUAAUUCACUAAUUUCCAGCUGCUCAAGCGAAAACCUUAAUUAUUUAGCCGCAGUAAAGCAUAGCUUUGUAAGUUAGUCAAUCAUGCAGUGGAAGAUUUAUCUCAGUGCUUUUGAUUGUGAAAGCUCAUAAGCGCAAGUAGCAAAGCAUCUUCCUAUAGGUUAGUGUUAGUGCAACUUCUCUGAUCAGAUAUUUACUUGAGAGAUUAACUUUCUUCCCCAAAAUGAUGUACCAAAUCAUGCAAUGACAGAUUUAUUUUGACUCCAAGAUCUUUUGAUGGUGUUGCUUCUAUCCAUCGACUGACCCCGUCAUCAUUACAAACAUGUAACAUAUGCCUUGGCAGUUUUAAUCAUGUCCACAUUGCCUAUAAAUAGAUGUCUAAAACCGUCUCUCUGGAACUGGAAAAGUGUCUCACUUCCGUUUUAUUGUUCUCUUCAAUUCAUCUAACAAAACGCAUAUCACAAUGACCCAAGAGUUUAUCAGCUCUCGUCAGCAUAUUCUAAGAAUGUCGUUUUAAUUGUCUCAUCAUCUCCCCCCUUUCACAGUGUGAAUCACUGUGAAAGUCAGAUCCUAGUUUGUUUGUUAAUACUACUGGUACAAAAACUAGUUAUUUGACUCUAAACCAUUUUCUGUGGCCUUAUUGACCCCUGAUAGCUUCCUAUUACUUUUACAUUAGGUGGCACAUCUGUGAGGAGUGUAUGUGGAUUCAGCACAGCUGCAUUUAGAUUUAUCAGUAUUAAACUAACAGAACAGGGAUGUUACAAUGCUAAUGUCACGAUAUUUACUUAAAACUAUAAACCAUAACUGUCUACUUACACACCUCGCGGUGAGCACCAAAUUUGAAUGUUACUUCUACAUAGGUCCUUUCGGUCUAUAAGGUCAACAGGGUUAAAAUUAAAACUAACAACUAACUUUUUCCAUCAUCCACAAAAAUCACACUGUAGUAAGCCACCACUUUCACAUUGUCUGGGCUGGGGCCCCCCACCACCGAUCCAGCCAGAGACGUCCCUGGUCUGGGCAGUUGUCAAAAAUGUCUGGUAUGAUCCCAUCCCCAGCAGGUCUUUAGACGUCACACGUCCGUCAGAAUUCCACUCUCUCCCCCUGCCGGGAUAUAUCCUCUCUAUGGAGCAGGGUUCUGUCUGAGGAUAAACAUUCACAACAGGUGAUUAAACAGGUUACUGUCACAGGUUUUACCGCAGUUAGCGUCUGCACGGUCUGCAUCGCUGGGUCUCUUUUGCCGUGUCCCCUUAGAGGUGGCUGUUUCAACUUCCGCUCCACCUCACAUCACAAUAUGCAUUGAACUCACUCCCAUCAGUCAUGGGAUUCGUCAUUCAACCUUGUUUUGCCUUGCGCAGAAACUCCUCCAUCGUCUUAGUUCCCAGCAGUUUAGCCAAGAGUGCUUUCAUGUCUGGUGUAGUCAACAUUUUCCUACAGUUCAUCCUCAAAAACUCGUAUCCAUCUCCCUGCCCCUUGUUCAGUUUGUGGUAGUCUGGCAACCAGCCCAACAAGGUGUGUGGUUUUCCACAGCACAUAGCUAGCCUGUGUGCCAUUUAUUAAGAUUGAAAACAUACUAUCAGUGCAUUUCCAAGUGAACAUAAUCUAGGCCAGGGGUGUCAAACUCAACCACAGCAAAGGGCAUAAUCUGGAUUUAAGUCUAGCCUCAGGGUCAAACAGGAUCAAAAUUUCACUAAAACUGUCAAUUUCCUUUUCAAAACAUAUGGGAGAAAAAAUAGCAAUGAUUUUAAAUCAUUUGGAAAUUCAAAAGAGAUAAACUAAUAAUAAUAAUAAAUAAAUAAUUUUAAAGGCAACCUAAGAUAGAAAAAAUUUAGUU